rfam:Dipodomys ordii contig_66846, whole genome shotgun sequence.
GGGAAUGUGGCUUAGUGGUAGAGUGCUUGCCUAUCAUGCAUGAAGCCCCAGGAUCGAUUCCUCAGUGCCA